rnacentral:lncRNA from 7 species
UUCUCAGAUGUGUAAUGCUGCAAUCUACUUUUAAACAGCUGCUGUGGCUCCUGAUCAAAGACAGGUGACUUCCUUGGUAGGAAGAAGAUCCAUCAGUUACCUUCAAUUGAUGGAUCAGCCAGUCUUGACCUUGUACUCUGUGGCACUUGUACAGCUGCUGCAAAAAUGUAUGGGAAAGCUUGCACAGUUUCCUAUGGAAAUGUAAGGCUAGUAUAGGCAAAUGCAUCACAGGAGCUCACUUAAUAGCAGAGAAGAAACAAAGCACAUUCAUCAUAUUGAAUUCCUACCCACAGUACAAACACCCAAAGCAACAUCUCGACAGUGAACUGCAGGGGUCAGGCAUGAGUGACAUUCAGAUCACCCAGCAGGCAGCCUCCUGGCUCUCCCCAGUGACCACCUCCGCCGCCUGCAAGCACCCCUCAGUGAUGGGAAGAGUGGGGCCCACACAGAUGCAAGGGAGAAGGGUGCUCUUCCCAGUAGAGGAUACCUAUAUAGAUGCACAUUUAUUCCUUCAAAGGGGUUUAAUGGUUUGCGUGCAGUUGUGAACAGCUUUAAAGCUUAGUGUUUCUAAUGAGUUGUUUAUUACUGUGGACCUUCAAUUUGCCACACACUGAGCAGGCUAUAAAUAUUGUUCCUCUGUAAAUUAUUGAUAAAAUCAACCUCUUUUAUCACUUUCUUGCCUGAUGUAAACUAUUUUGAGCUUUAUGUCCUACAGAUGCUUUUAACCACCUCUGCUACCCUUGCACACACAAACCAAAUAUUUGCUUUUAUGCUACUGUGGAAAUGAUUUUGCUGUGGCUACAGUGAAUUCCCUCUAAUUUUUUACAGUGGGUACCAAUAGCCAAUACCAAAGUAGCUUUGUUAUUGCCUAACAAAAGGCUAGCAUGCUUUAGCUUUAAAAAUCAUAUCUAUCCUAUUGUUCUUUUUAUCUCGGCUUGUUUUCUUCUGUAGUUAAUUAUUUUCUAAUAGACAAAAUAAACCCCAUUAGUACUAACAAGAGAAAGUCAGAUUAAGGGCUCACAAAAGCUUGCAUCUCAAUGUUAACGUUAUUGUGUGAGCAGGAAUUUAUCAAUUUGGAAUUAAAAAUUAAUCACCAAAAGCGUUUUAGGAGCAUGAUUCACAC